AUACGUAGGUGACAAGCGUUAUCCGGAUUUACUGGGCGUAAAGGGCGUGUAGGCGGUCUUGCAAGUCAGAAGUGAAAUUCCUGAGCUCAACUCGGGCGCUGCUUCUGAAACUGCAGGACUUGAGUGCUGGAGGGGAUAGCGGAAUUCCUAGUGGAGCGGUAAAAUGCGCAGAUAUUAGGAAGAACACCGGUGGCGAAGGCAUCUGACGAACUGCCCACUGACGCUGAGGCACGAAAGCGUGGGGAUCAAACAGGAUUAGAUACCCUGGUAGUCCACGCAGUAAACGAUGAUGACUAACUGCCGGCCCGUUGCGGGUCGGUGGCCAAGCGAAAGCGAUAAGUCAUCCACCUGGGGAGUACGACCGCAAGGUUGAAACUCAAAUGAAUUGACGGGG
rnacentral:rRNA from 1 species